GCGCGUGCGGGCUUCGAACAGCUCAGAUGGGCUGUCAUUGAACCAGAAGCAAAACAAGUUACAAGGACUGACUCUGUCUACAAUUGGUGUCAGCACUGGCUACACGUCUUUCGCACUAUAUAUGGCCUGGCCACGAGUCAUCACACCUGACGUGAGAGGUGAGAGAGAUGCAUUUAGAUGCAUGGACAAUGAGAGAAUGCCCCGCUGAGCAAACGUCCAUACUACCAGGAAGAGGCUAAAGAUCACCCACGCAAACACCCUGGCCCCUCCCAUGGCCAAACUGUAAAGACAGCAGCAAGAGGUGGCUGGUCAGAUCCGAUCUACCACAGCCAGUCAGGUGUAGCAACGGCAUUCUGACACACACACGCAAACACACACAGUUUGAAUGCUUGAUCAACUCCUUUACACAGCUGAUACAUCAAGCCAGCUACCGUUUGUCAACUGACUAAUGACCUUAAAGCCAGCAGUUAAAAGUAAACGUAGGCCUAUGUUAUGCUUCAUUUUGUAUCCUCUGACCUGUUUUGAACAGUACACACACAUCCUAUAAUUCUGCAGAAAAAAGAAUGUGAAAACCUGACAAGCUCUGACCGGUAAGGUAAUAAAGCAUUCCCAUCGUCACACACAAAUCAACCUAGUCCCAAUAACACCACCACACUACAAAUGAGUGAUGGCAGAGAUGAGGAGAGAGAGAGAGGCAGAGAUGAAUGGCCGACACUGAAACACGCAAGGACAGCAGUGGAUGCAUAAAUUCUGGCCUAAUGACAGUCACCAAAAUGUCAUUACACUUUGUGGUGUUUUGUGGAACAGAUGUCUCUUUCCAUUCACAACUGUUUGGAGGCUGGAAAUAUGUUGCGAGUGGAUGAACGUGCGCGGGUAGCCUAGUAAAGGAGCCCUUUGAUGUAUUUUGGUAAGAAAUUACAUCUA